rnacentral:lncRNA from 1 species
GGAAUGUUGCCCUGUGUUGUUGGGGAUAACCAGGCCCACAUGCUAGCUGCUUCAGCGGGGCCCAGUGGCUAGCUGUCCUGUCAGCUGAAUGUAAUCACAUGAGCGGUCACCAGAGAUCAUCAAAAGAACCACCCGGUCAACUUUUGGAUUGUGAAAGAUAAAGGUCUAUGCUGUUACUUUAUUCAUCUUGCUGUGAUUGCCGGGAGCCUGACCCACAUGAAGUGCAUGAAUGCAUUCUGUCCCUCUCCAGCUAGAUGAACAGACGGUACUCACAGAGGAGCAACGCCAGACCUGCUGUCUAUGUGGUGUGACCCAAGAAACCUCAAGGUCAAGAUGAAGUGCAAUAGUUCUUCUCCUGGCCAGCAGCAGCCCAAGUCCCUACUAAAAAUUUGCAGAUGCGGAGAACUUUCAUCAAACAAGACAUAAAUGGAGCCUGUUAGAUCGGGGGUCAAAGCAGUCAUCACCAGACAGUAAUACCUAUUCAUUAAGAUGAUUUUUAAUGGCAUAUUCUAAUGGGCAGAGGUAAAACAAUUAUGAUUUUAACUUCUUGUUUGCAUUAUAAAUAAGUAAAAGGAAAGCAGCAACAAGGAGUACUUGGAAUUCCUCCGAAGGAGCCCCAAACUUCAUCCCCUCAUUCCGUCUGUGUGCAAACCAAAUGCUGAGGGACUGAGUUGGCCUGUGGUCUCUCAAGUUAGCACAGUAGCAUCAAGGCUGAUUUAAAGAUCAAGGCGUAAAGAACCAUAUGCAUGUCAGGAUAUGCAGAAUGUUUGGAAAUCACUUAAAAAAUAGCUAUCGAGCACUGGAGCUAGAAUUAUGAUUAUUGACUAAAAAAAAAAAAAAAUCAGUUUUUUGCUUUCCUUUUCUCUACCAUCAUGCUCAGUAGACCAGAAUAUUUGAAUAGUCUUUUUGUAAGACAAAUUCUGACUUAUUGCAUAUUUAGUAUAUGUCGUGGCACAGUAUUG